rnacentral:rRNA from 1 species
AGUAACACGUAAGCAACCUGCCUAUCAGAGGGGAACAACAGUUAGAAAUGACUGCUAAUACCGCAUAUGCCUAAGUACCACAUGGUACAAUAGGGAAAGGAGCAAUCCGCUGAUAGAUGGGCUUGCGUCUGAUUAGAUAGUUGGUGGGGUAACGGCCUACCAAGUCGACGAUCAGUAGCCGGACUGAGAGGUUGAACGGCCACAUUGGGACUGAGAUACGGCCCAGACUCCUACGGAAGGCAGCAG